GUGCCAGCCGCCGCGGUAAUACGAAGGGUGCAAGCGUUAAUCGGAAUUACUGGGCGUAAAGCGCGCGUAGGUGGUUCAGCAAGUUGGAUGUGAAAUCCCCGGGCUCAACCUGGGAACUGCAUCCAAAACUACUGAGCUAGAGUACGGUAGAGGGUGGUGGAAUUUCCUGUGUAGCGGUGAAAUGCGUAGAUAUAGGAAGGAACACCAGUGGCGAAGGCGACCACC
rnacentral:rRNA from 1 species